rnacentral:rRNA from 1 species
UACGUAGGGGGCAAGCGUUGUCCGGAAUCAUUGGGCGUAAAGCGCGUGUAGGCGGUUCGGUAAGUCUGCUGUGAAAGUCCAGGGCUUAACCCUCGGAUGCCGGUGGAUACUGUCGGGCUUGAGUACGGAAGAGGCGAGUGGAAUUCCUGGUGUAGCGGUGAAAUGCGCAGAUAUCAGGAGGAACACCAAUUGCGAAGGCAACUCGCUGGGACGUUACUGACGCUGAGACGCGAAAGCGUGGGGAGCAAACAGG